UCAACCGUGGUUUUAAUCUCUGUCAUCAAUAUGGUCCCUGAGAACUUCCAGGAGUGAUCUUCAAAGUGCAGAGCCAAGCAUAGGCCCUGAUCCUUUCUGCAUUUGGCCCCAAUCCUACGCAAAAGUGCAUCAGAGGAGACUUUUGGGGGAAGAGGCACACCCAGCAUCACUCAGGGCUUAGUCUUGGCUCUUCAUUCAGGGAUCCCUCCUGCUGAGCUCAGAAGACAAAAUGCGAUGCCAGGAAUCAAACCCAGAACAGAAUCUACACCAGGAACAACAUGACUGAACAUGAGAGAUGGUUGAAGCUUCAGGGCCUGGCAACUUGAGUCGUUUGGCUGGGUGAGAAUUCCUCAGGCUCAGUUCCAGCCUCGGAUUCUAUUUUCCCACCAGGGUCUUAGAUUCUAUCCUGCUCUCUCUUCACACUCCACCCUGGAGUGUCUGACAUCUUACAGUAAAGGGCUCCUUUGAGCAUUGUGUGAAACCUUCAGAAUCUUCAUCCCCCCAAAGAAUUCACAUAGAAAUUGAAUUUUUCACAAGAAUUCUGAAGGUUUGGGACUCAUGAAGCCCAUAUGUGUGU